rnacentral:rRNA from 1 species
UACAGAGGGUGCGAGCGUUAAUCGGAAUUACUGGGCGUAAAGCGUGCGCAGGCGGUUCGUUAAGUCAGCUGUGAAAGCCCCGGGCUCAACCUGGGAAUUGCGGUUGAAACUGGCGAACUAGAAUCUGGCAGAGGGGGGUGGAAUUCCACGUGUAGCAGUGAAAUGCGUAGAGAUGUGGAGGAACACCGAUGGCGAAGGCAGCCCCCUGGGCUGAGAUUGACGCUCAGGCACGAAAGCGUGGGGAGCAAACAGG